rnacentral:lncRNA from 1 species
GAUACUAAUAUUUAACAACAAAAUUACCAUUAUUAAUUUGAUAAUUAAAACUUUUUUUUUUUUUUUUUUUUUUUUUUUAAAUAUUUUAUUAAAACCACCCUAACGGGCUUGGGCCGAAGCCUACACACAAACCAAUCCAGUUACAAAAAGGUAAAUCGGCAUCUCGCCGGAAAAAGAAGAAAAGCUCGCCCCUUGUUGAUAGACGCUCGUAGAGCAACCGGAGCCUUAAAUCUGGCAGAUUCAAGACCCACCGCUUCGUGGCCGCGUCAGAAAAUCGACUACCACCGACGGAAGAAUCUGGUUUCCGUCAGAAGAGUCUCUCCUCCGACGCACCAACCCGCCACAAGCCUCCCAGAAAGCUAGUCACUCCAACGCAGCGCAUCGACGGAGUCGGAUCCCGACCUAGCAACCCGACCCACUGGGAGGUAACCCUUUUCUCCCAAAACCGGUAACACCAAAAAACCUGAAUCUUCACGCAUCGAUCCGGACCGGUGGAGACCAGAAGCGGCGGAUCUAGAGAACGUUGGCUCGCCGUGAACCUCUAAACCCGAACCCCGCAUCAGCCCUCUAAGAUCCAAACAGAUCCACAGCUAACCACCGCGUCGGACAACGAACCCCCCUUAUCCCCUCCAACUUCCGCCGUGGACGCAGCAACUAGAUCGACGGGUGAGCCUGAGGCGCAUUGCAGCAUCUCCCGGCGUCCUCAACCGCGAGACCACCGCUGCAAAACUCCUCAUCCGUCAGAACCAGGGCCACAACCACAUCAGAGAGGAAACACCACACCGCCGUUGACGGAGAUACGCUCCGACUCACUCCUGGACCGCCUUGGAGAAGCCUCGAACCGAAGAUUGAAGAGCAGAACGGAACGAAAGAACCCUAGAUCUGGUUGCCGGAAAUCGUCUUCAAGAGAGAGAGAAAUGCACAGCUAUCGAGGCAACGAUUGGGCCGUAUCUCUUGAUAAUUAAAACUUACUCGAAUCUUUUUUUAGGUUUUAUAACAAUGAUAUAAGUAAUGAAAAUAUUUUGUAAAUUAAAAUGACUUCAGGUUCGUAUUCUUAUACCAUUGAUAUAUCCCACUACAAUUACAAAGUGUGGGUGGCGCCAUUUCCUCUAAUACUCUAAACGUACGGUCCCAGAGGAAUCUCUUGUCCUCAAAAAAGUCAACGAUUACUUAGAAGGACUUCUUUUGCUUUCAUUCAUGUAUGAUCAUGAAAAUUAGUUCAAUUUCUUAUCGUAAAUCAGGAUUCUGCACCUGUUUUCUCUAUGUAUUUGUAGUUUGUUCAUUGUUCUGCCUCCGUCUUAGAUUGUUCUAUGUUUUUCUCAUAUACAUUUUCCUAGGUUCACUAAUGUCAUCUUGAUUCAGAUUUUCCAAACAUUAUCAUCACCUUGCUUGAAAAAAUGUCUCUGUUAUCAAACUUAAAUAAGAUGCUUAGUCAUUCGAAGUUUGAAUCACAAACAUUAUAAUAGUGUCUUGUGUAAGAAAAUGUUAUGUUUUUAUCUAGAAGAGUAGAGCAUUUCUCUAACGCUUGCGAGCGUCGACAAACACAGUCUAUAUAGGUUAAUACACCAACGAACAAUAAGAACCACUCUUAUAGAAACCGCCUGUUUUACAUGCAUGCUCUACAAAUUAAUCUAAGCUUUAUCAGAUAUGUUCACGUUAGCAUUUAGGGAUUGUACCGUCGAUAAACCCUAAUUUGUUGUGAACAUUUAACGCCAUCCUCACAGAUCUGCAUUAUGCGCCAUGAGUGAAAAUCAGCUCCAGUUGUGAGACGAUCUACUACAAGUUGCAAUCCAGCAUGAUCUGAGGUAUGUAGAAAGAACGGAUUAUCAUAUUGAUCAAGAUUCUGUCGAUUUAAAUCACAGUGAGCUUGAGACGGAGGAUGAUUUCCAGAAAUUGCAUCAAGAAACGAUGGACGAAUUGGUGUUAAUCCCAUUUUGUGUGAAUCAAACGAUGAAAGAAAUUACUCCAAAGAAUGAUUGAAAGAGGAAGAAUCGAAAGCAAUAAGGUCAAGAAAAAACGAAGAAAGAACUCAGAAAUCAUCUACGAACACGAAUUGAAGAAUCGCAAAGACGAUGAUGCAACAGAAAUCGAAAGAAGAAAAGAGAAGAUGAAUGAUCGGAGAAGCAAUCGAAGAAGCGCUCAUGAUCGAAGACGCUUUGAUACCAUAUCAAGAUCUUCUCCGUAACAAACUAAAGGAGAAGAAGAAGAUGAAGAUGAAUAACAGAAAUUAAAAUUGCUAAUUUUCUCAUUAAUCACAAUGUAUUACAAGGUUUAGUAUUUAUAUAUGACUAUACUCUGAUGCUAACAUACACAUUAGUAAAAUGCUAACGUGUACUAUAUUGAAUAUCUGAUAAGCUUCGUUUUGAUAUCAUCUACUUAUUAAAAAUUUAAUGUCAUUCUCCAUGAUUUAUUUAUAGGUCACCGUAAACAUUGAUUCACACAAAUAUAAAACGAUAUUCCAAGAACUAAACAUAAAACAUGUAAUUUCCAUUAUGUGGAUUCUAAAUCUGAAAUAACGAUUAUUGUGCGUUAAGUGUAGAAUAAGUGGUGCCAUUAAAAUGGUGAAUAGUGUGAUAAAUUAGCUUUUCAACCAAUUUUCCUUAGCAAUUAGGAUAACAAGGAAAAAGAAAAAGAAAAAAAAAAACUAAGAUAGCUAGCAAGGAUAAACAAACAAAAGUAAUUAUUUUCCACGUAAAAUGUGUCACACAUAAGUUUAAUUUCUUAAAACAAAAAUAAAAAUCCAAUGGGGCGUUUUCUUAAUAUGUUUGAUAACCAUAUUACUGAAAUUAAAAUCUCAUUUGUAAGAAAAAAGUGUGUCGGAUGAAUUGGGUUAAUUUAGCUGAGUACAUAGUUCAAAAAAAAAAAAAAAAAAAACUGUAAGUAAACCAAUAGACAAAUAACGAUUCUGGACGAUGGGAUUUGCUAAAAUUCUUUGGCAGAAAGCUACAUAUCCCUUGAGAAAUCAAUAACUCCCAUAAUGUCAUUAAAAAGAAGAUGAAUAAAAAGAGGUCCCGAAUAUAAAGACCGUGUGAGAGACGAAGAAAAGAAAGGAUAUGGUGCGAAUUUAUUUGGGAAAAAGAAGAAGUGACGACGUGGGGGUAAUGGGCAAUGGGGAAUCGACACGUGCCCACACAUUCCGUGUAAAAAAAGUUUUUUAGGUGUCACGUGCGCCCAUCAUAUGAAUCUAUGACAAAGUGGGGAAAUGAGCAAUGGGGAAUCGACACGUAUGAAAGUUGGGUAGAGAAGUUGGGAAUGUCACGUGCGCCCAUCAUUUUAUCCGUUUUUCCCAAACCUUUGGGGGCCCUUCUCUAAUUGUAUACCUUUUGACUUUCCUUCUUUAGAUUUUGGUCGUACUUGAAAAUUAUAUUUAUAUCAUAUAUACGUGUAAAAAAAAAAAAAAAAUUAUAUCAUAUAUAUAUAUAUUGUUUUAAUUUGUAUACAUUUUUUUUUUAAUCAAACGAUCUAAGAAAAAAAAAACUUAAAAAAUUAGAUAAUAUGACUAUGAUUUUAAAUUUUCUAAAAUUUAUUAAUUUCCCAUGUUACUUGUUCGAUACUCAAAUAUGUGAUGAUCAAUCAAUUGAUUAUCAAAAAAUUUACAGCUAGUAGACUGUUGUUUGAAAUUUUUUGUUCUAAAAUUGAUUGCAAAAACUUAACUGUAGUUUUUCUUUGUGAUACUCAUUACUGGUUUUAAAAAACAACAAAACAUUAGUAUUUUUCCAUGGAAAAUGGUUUAAUCCCUUAAUUAUAUUCAUAAUAGUUUUGGUUAAAAAAUACUAAUCGAGCUGUAUACGAAUAGUAUGUCAAAAAAAUUUGGAUAGAACAAAUUUGUUCACAUAUUAUGUAUAUCUGCAUUUCAUGAGUAUAUUUGAUUUAAUUAUUUACUUAUAUUCCAGGCAUCAUUUAUAUUAUUUGGCUGACCAAAUUAUGAUAUAUAUUCUUUUCCGAUCGAUUCCAUAUCUCAAGAGAAGUUGACAACAUGAUACAAUUUCAUUAAAAUCACAAAAUAAUACAAGUUAUUAAAAUUGCUAUAGCUUGAACCCACCCCAAUCGACCAAGACAAAACACGUACAUUAAAUGCAUGUGAAGUAAAAUAAACCAAGAACAAAAACACUCAACGACAAAGUAAAAACCUGCAUAUAUAUACAUGAUAGAUAUAUCAUCUGCGGCGAUGAUCGGGAAACCAUAAUGAACCAGUUUUUGGAUGAUCGACUACUACAUGUCUCGGACAUGGAAGACGUUAGGGUUCUUGACGACGAUAUCAUACAUAUGAAUAGAGUUAAACUUGGAGAAGUCACGAGGGAGAGAGAUGAGAUCGAUCGAAGUUCUCUUGUGGAACUGGAGCAGAUGAUCGGUGUUGUCUCCACUGUAGUACCUCUCCCACCCAAGAUUCUUCAAGAUCUUCUCAAGUGAUCCGUACGAAGAGACAACCUCGCUGGUCGGAAGAUGGACGAGAAUUUUCCUCCUCAUCCUCUGCUGCUGGUUACCACCGGAAGAGGAUGAUUCCGACGAAUCUCCGGCGGAUUGGUUGUAAGGAUUCUCCACCAGCCUCAUGACUCCGUUUUUGUUGAACACCCACACACCAGACAUUGUUGAUGUUGUUAUCUAUUUAUGAUUUUACGAGCUAGCUAGCUAUAGGGUUUUUUUUUUUUGGGUGUUCAAAAAUGAGUUUGUUAAUUUUUGGUGAUGUCGAGGGCUAUAUAUAUAUAUAUAUAUAUAUAUAUAUAUAUAUAUAUAUAUGUUAGUAAAGGGGUGUGUAGAGACUGACAAGUAUAUUAUGAAUAUAUAUAUAUAUAUUAAAUGCAGAAUUCCAGAAUUUUCGAAAAGGAAGAAUCUUAUCUAUCAAUCUUCCACCAAUUUAUUUAUCAUAUUUGGACACAAGAGCAUAACUCAAAAUCCGUAAAACCAAAGCUAUUGUUCUGAUUCGAAACUAUAUAGCUAUUGUUAAAUACUUAUUAUAUAACAUUAUUUCGAUCGUCAUAUUUGGGACGUAAGAAAUGCCAUAUCUUUUCUAUGGAAAUUGGUUGAAAGAAGGUUAUACUUUUUCUUUGGUCUUUAAAGAAUGUUAUACUUAUUCCGAUAUGCAAGGAGAUAAAUAAAUCAAAAUUAGCGUAGGAAAUGAUUUAGUUUGAGUGUUAGAAUAUUAAAAAUCAUGUGUCCACAUACUAGCUAAGGAUGAGUGAUAAGUUUCAUUCUGGAAUCUCUUCUUCUUUUCCAUUUUAUUAUGUUUGUGUGGUUAAUUUCUUUCUUUUCUAUAUAUCGAAGAAUCUUUGGUAAGAAUUCACAAAUUAAGAUUCUUGCAUAAACUUUCCUUUUUUCUUUUUCUUUUUUUUUUUUAUUCUUGCAUAAACUUGAUAUGCAUAUCGAGAUAUAUGGAACUCAAAUACGGCAAGACUUCCUAGUUUGCAUGAGCUAAACCUGACGUAACAUAUGUGAUAUGUAUACUUACAUCGGUUGUUAUGCGAUGAAUGUCGAUCACGAUCAGUGUCUUUUUUUUUUUUUACUACUAGAUGUCUAUGGAAGGGAAUGAUCGGAUAAUUACAAGUAUCACCAUUUUAGUUUCAUCAGUCUUUAUUAUUAGGAGUUAUAUAACAAAAUUUGAAGAUUAUAAAUAAGCGAAAUGAAAAGUUUUUUUUUUCUGUUAGUAGUUACGAAAUGAAAAAAAAAAAUCGUAAAGAGACUACAGUUUCUGGAAGAAAAAAAAUAUUUGAUAAGAAUGUAAAUAUCAUUUCAAGAAAUGAAAAAUUUAGGAAUUAUAUCUGUAAAUCCUAGAUACAUGGUCUCAUGGCAAAAAAAGCUAAAAAACAUGGAAGCAUAAACAUUCGAGAAUCAAAUCAUCAAUAAAUCUUUAAGUGGUGAAGCUUUAGGCAAAAUUAUGAAAUGAACUCGAUAAAAAAGCUGCCUAUAAAAUUGUUAUACUUAUUAAUAUUGACAAUUUAAAAAGCUGCCUAUAAAAUUGUUAAUUUCAGUGAUAUAUAUAUUUUACGUUUUGAUUAUUCUUCACUUUUUAUGUUUGUAUUGUGUAUUAGAAUUUAGACAUGUCAACAGAAGGCGUUACGGUCACGUGGUGUCAUGUGAAUAUUAAUACUUUACUGGUCCUCGCUCUCCUUCAGUCGAGACAAUUAAUUAAGGAGGCCUUUUUUACAUUGCUUCUCGAUCUGUCUUUUUUCUCUCUUUUAAUUUACUUAUAUAGAAAAAAUCAAUAUGAACUUUGUAAUAUACUUGAUCUAUUUCCCUUUUUUAUUUUCAUGUAAAAUUUGUACAGUAAAAACUCU